GUUUUCUUAUCCUUUUGUUGCUUCUUCUGUAGCUAAUUAUUCUACUACUGUAAAUAUGUUUUUACCGAUAUAUACACACUCCUUCGUGGUAUUUAUGAUGUACGUAUAUUCUCUUCUUUUUUUAGGUUUUCUACCCUGUAUACUGUACCCACUCUGGGGUCAUAACUAAUCCCGAUCGCGUAAGGCCCAUUUAAGGAAAAACUGAACGGACACUAUCUAGUUGGUCAUAACUAAUCCCGAUCGCACCCACAACAUCUUAUGUAAUACAAAUACUCUCACAGAUAAAUUAGUUAUGCGUAGCAAGGACACUAUCUAAUUGGUUCCAAAAACUGAAAGUAGCACUACAAAUCAACUUCUGACCCGAUAGUACAAUGAUCCUAAAAUGUUCUUUUUUUAAUCAAAAGUAAUUCUUUUCUUUCCUUUUUCCUUUGAUUUCAAUAGAGGCUCACAGUUACAAACAAGUCUUUAUUUUCCCAAGCAUGUUUGCAGGACGGGUCUCAGUAAACACGUUAUUCAUUUUCAACUAUCCAAAUAGAACUAUUGCAAAACCAAGAUAGGAAUUACCAACUCAAAGGCUUUAGCAAAAUUCACCCACCACUGUUCCUCUCCCCAAAACCAAAGCCUCCAUGGACAUCAUCAAAACCAUUAGAAGUUGUACUGAUAUGACCAUUGAAAUCUCCACCAAUGAAAAUCUUUUCGGUGCCCAGUAUUACCUCAUCCAAAUCCUCCCAAAAGAGCUUUUUGACUUCAUCAUCCAGGCCCAUAUGAGGCUCAUAAAUACUAACAACGUUCACAAUAAGCCUACUGAUAACUAGCUUAAUUGUCAUCAUCCUAUUACUGACCCUCUUAACCUCCACCACACACUCCCUAAAAUCCCCGUCAACUAGAAUACCUACUCCAUUCCUAUCCCUUGAGCCUUUUGAGUACUACAAUUUAAACUUGUCCAUAUCCUGAGCUUUGGUACCUACCUAUCUAGUCUUCUGAACACAAGCUAUAUUAAUCUUUCUCCUCUUAAGACUCUUCAUUAGCUCUAUGUACUUCCCUGUAAGUGACCCUAUGUUUCACGAUCCUACUCUCAACCUAAGAAAACCCGUCCUCCUUUUACCACUAUUUCCCCUCGCCUCCGCCCCCAAUCGAGGACAUGACCCUUAUCCACAAUCAAUCCACAAAGCCACUAAAUAGGAUAUGAACUACAAAGUGAUAGACUGAGAACAAAUAAAUCGAGAGAAUACAGUAAAUCAAGAAGAUACAAGUAACGAGAUAAUAUUAGAUAGAACAAUAAAAUAUAAAAUAGAGACAAUGCACGAUAACUAAGAAAAAAUCUAGAACAAUAAUGGUAAGAAAAAAUCAAGAACAAUAACUGUAAGUAAAAUAAUCAAGAACAAUAGCUGUAAGCAAAAAAAAUCAAGAACGAUAGGCUACCACACCUAAUUCAAACGGAUCAAGAAGUAAUAUUAGAAGAUGAACUGGUGCACACGAAAUCAGUCAAGGAAAGACAGAACCUGGAGCUGCAGACAAUCGCCAGAAAGAUGCUGGCAUAAGCAGUGGCGGCGGCAUGAGAUCUGGAAACCCUUCGCUGGUGAAGGAUCGGAGAAAGAUUCUGAUCAGAAAACCCUGGACGUUGCUGGAUAUUGGUAAAUCUAGUUCAGAUCUGGGCAGAUCUAUUUCGCCGAGAAAAGAAAGGAGGAGACCAAAAACUUCGCCGGAAAAUAAAAAAGAAGAAUAAUUUCGCCGGUAGAUCUUCCGAUUUGCAACAAGAAAAUAUGUAACCAAAUGUGUAAGAGGCCUAGAAGAUACGUGACCGGAAAGAUUGACCUGAAAUUCCUAGUUAUGUAUAUACAUACCUAGUUAAUCAUAUUUGACGGAGUUUAAUUUCUGUACCCUGACAUCUUUUAAAGAUCCGUAUAUUAUUCUGCCUAGUCGACAAUAGACAUUCAAAGCAUGGGUCACUUUGAAUUUUAUCUAUAUGUGUCAGCAGCUUCCUUCCGAGGAAUGCUGAUUUUGAUAUGAAGGAAUUGUGAUUACAAUUCCAGAAAAAGAAUAGAUAUAAAUGAAUAAAACAUUGACCUCUUAUGGCACUAUUUAUUGGAGUAGUUCAAUCAAAUUUUUAGCUUACUGACCUUUUAUGUCGUUAUUCCUUAAUGUUGUUUAAUGAAAUCUUUAACUUAGGGCCUUGAAUUGGAGAACCCUGAAAAGGGAUCUUGAAUUGGAGAACCCUGAAAAGGGAUUAAAACUCGGAUGGAGGACAUGCUUAAAUUAAAAACAAAGAUCAAUAAAGAGAGCUAACCUUUAUAUGGUGCUAGAUGUAGGACUUGUUAGCACAAUUCUUUCGAUUACACCCUUAAAAUAGAAAAUAAAUGAAACCAAAGAUUAGAUCUCAGAUGGGCACAUACAUAGGAGGUCGUCAAAAAGAAAGGAAAGAUCAAAGACAGCAUGACAAAUGAUUCAUCCUCGUUAUUUUAUUAGCAAGGAUGUAAGGGGAGUGAGCGAAAAAGUCAAGUGAGGUUCUUAAAAGCUGCCAUGAGUUAGAUGACAGAUGAGAAAAAUAGGAGACCAAUGUAUAGAAAAAUAGGCUUGCAGAUUUUUGACGAAGCUUGAUUUAUAGGCUCUAACGAUGCUGUUAGUUUUACUAGAUCACCAUUAUUGACUUUAAAAAUUACUCAAAAAGUUUAGAUAUUAAAGGGAAGCUAUGAGAAUGCUCUUUAAAUGAUGUGUGUUGCUAUUAUGUUCGUUUCUAUCUUUGACAAGUGGAAGCCGUAAUCUGUCAUAAAUGUAAACAUAUUGUGUUUCUCGUGACUCUUUUUUUGUCAGAAUGCAAAAACUGGAGCAAAAUGGGGAAAAAGAGGUUAAAAAGAAAUACUUUUUAUGGUGCUUUUCUUUAGAGUUGUUCAAUUAAAUCUUUAGCAUAGGGCCUUGACUUAUAAAAUCAUGAAAAGUGAUUAGAACUCAGGCGGACAUGCUUAAACUGAAAACAAAGAUGAAUAGAGAGAGCUAACCUUUAUAUGGUGCCAUAUCUAGGACUUGUUCGCACAAUUCUUUAGAUUCAAGCCUUAAAACAGAAAACAAUGAAACCAAUGAUUAGAUCUCAAACCCAGAAUAACACAUAAAAUUUUAGACAUUAAACCAACUGUGAUUACUAUUAUGAAAAAAAGAAUAGAUAGAAAUGAAGAAAACUGACCUCUUAUGGUGGUGCUUUUCAUUAGGAACUGUUGAAUGGUGUCUGUUAGUCAGGGUUUCUCCCGCUUUAACAAUCAAUCAUAUAACAAAAUGAAUUUUUGGCCUUAGAUAAGACUUGGCUCCUUAACCUUCCUACAUUGUCUCCAUCUCGCCUCAGUUGAAAACUGACAAAUCUCAUCCAGAUCUCUGAACCCAAGGAAAAAAUUAAUUUAAAAGAGCAACCAACAACAGUAGCAUAUAUGUACAAUAAGUACGAAAGUGACUCUUUCCAUAGAGACAUAACAACCAUCUAGACAUAAAGCUUUAUAAAUAGUAAAAUUCAAAUUUAUUUCUGGAAAAGACUUUCUAGACUAUCAAAAUUAGCAUUCCUUGGAAGGAAGCUGCUGACACAUAGAUAAAAUUUAAAGUGACCCAUGGUUUGAAUGACUAUUCUCGAUUAGGUAGAAUAAAUACGGAUUUUUAAAUCAGGGUAUAGAAAUUAAACUCCGUCAAAUAUAAUUAACCAGGUGUGUAUAAACAUAACUAGGAAUUUCAGGUCAAUCUUUCCGGUCACGUAUCUUCUAGGCCUCUUACAUAUUUGGUUACAUAUUUUCUUGUUGCAAAUCGGAAGAUCUACCGGCGAAAUUCUUCUUUUUUUGUAAUUUUUCCGGCGAAGUUUUUGGUCUCCUCCUUUCUUUUCUCGGCGAAAUAAAUCUGUCAAGAUCUGAACUAGAUCUACCAAUUUUCGGCAGCUUCCAGCAUAUUCUGGCAACAUCCACGGUUUUCUGGUCAGAAUCUUUCUCCGAUCUUUCCUCGGCGAAGGGUUUCCAGAUCUCACACCGCCGCCACUGCUGACGCCGGCAUCUUUCCGGCCACUGUCUGCAGCUCCAGGUUCUGUUUUUCCUUAACUGAUUUCGUGUGCACCAAUUCAUCUUCUAAUAUUACUUCUAGAUCAGUUUGAGUUAGUUGUGGUAGCCUAUUGUUCUUGAUUUUUUUGCUUACAGUUAUUGUUCUUGAUUUUUUCUUACCAUUAUUGUUCUUGAUUUUCUUUUCUCUUUCUCCACUUAUUGUUACUGUUCUUGAUUUCUUGUAUUUGCUUAUUAGUUACUGUGCAUUGUCUCUAUUCUACAUUUUAUUGUCAUGUCUACUAUUAUCUCGUUGCUUGUAUCUUCUUGAUUUACUGUAUUCACUCGAUUUAUUUGUUCUUAGUUUAUCACUUUGUAGUUCAUAUCCUAUUUAGUGGCUUUGGAGACUGAUGGUGGACUAGAGUCACAUCCUCGAUUGGGGUGCGAGGGAAAUAGUGGUAAGAGGGGGACGGAUUUUCUUAAGUUGAGAGCAGGAUUGUGGAACAUAGGGUCAGUUACAUGGAAGUUCAUAGAGCUAGUGCAGAGUCUUAAGAGGAGAAAGAUUAAUAUAGCUUGUGUUCAUUUGACCAAUUGUAACUUCGUGAUUUCAAACAGGUCGAAGCCAUCAUUGAUCACCAAUUGGUGCGCGGCAAGGGGUGGAACAAUUCAAGUGCGCAGUUCCUUGUGCAUUGGAAGGGGACUUCGCCAGAGGAGGCAACUUGGGAAAAAUAUGAGGACUUGUGGCAGUUUCGCAACAAGGUCCAGGAGUACUUGCUACUGUGUGGCGCCAGGGUCGUCGCCAACUCAGGUGGGGGAGCGUGUGCCGCCCCGCACGGAGCUACAUUAGAUUCCAGCAGUUCGGGGGUCCAGGCAGCCUCAAACACUGUGCCAGCAUGCAGCCUGCAGUGUGGGAGAAAGUCGCGAGAAUUCUUGGUCACAUGAUUGUUACAGGUUCUGGAAUAAUGUCUUUGCUCAGGCAUGUCAUCAGGCACUUGCAAGUAAGUGCUUGUGGACAUUUUACUAAAUCCAACUUGAGCAAUAACCAAUGCGGUACUAUUUAUGAAACACACCAGCUUUUGAGGUGUUUUUGGAUGGAAAGCAAGUGAAAAUGGAAUCAUCUGCAGGAACAAGCUUUUGGACUUCCAAAUUGCAGCACAAAGUAUAUAGAAUUUCUGUAUGAUGACUUAGUUACCCGGUGGUUCUAUGUGCUUCAAGCGGUGACAGCUUUAUUACAUGCCUUCAAAUGUGUGAUUUAUUAUGUAAAUGUCUUUGGUUAAUGGUAGAUGGCUCAACAAUCGGUGCUGCUCAUCAACAAUCGGUGCUGCUCGAAGCAAUUCACAAUAUCACCGAUCAAACAAUACUAUAACCGAACUAGAGGCUAGGGAAAUUCUUGUUGUAGGUGUGUCAUUGCAUCCUGCUGUUUCUGGACUGGUAUUGGAGUGCAUUGCUCAUGAAUUCGUCUCUUUAUCAAUUUUUUCAAAGUGGCACAUUUGACUAUAAAAUCCUAGUGAGUUGUGUUGAAGCAAUGCCCCUGAUAUGGUGAAAUAGAUGGCAGCAAAACAAUGAAUGCGGAGGACAUUAAGAGUGGAAGUAAUGUUCGCUACUUGAUCGAUCGAGUCCAUCAGGAAUGAGGAGAAGGGAGAAAAUGGAGAAGCAGAGCUCGAGGAAUAAGAUGAUCUAUCUAAGGAUUAAAAGCAAGCAUAUAGUGGUAAAAAUCAAUUCGAGUGUUUACAUCAAUCCAAUCAGUAAGUUUUUACCGUGAAGCAUUUUUGUUACACUUUAAACAUUCUCGUGAAGAGACGUGUUUCCCAAUAUGAGGAUGGAAAGAAAAAAGAGUAGUGGUUAGGCUUAUAGGUAGAUAGAUAGAUAUGUAUUGCCGAAAAGUUUGACAAUUAUUAGGAUAGAUAGAAUUACGGAGUCUUGGCUGACUCUGACAAAGUUUGAAAUAUUGAACCUUACAUUAAUCUUUCAGAGGAAAGAAGAAUUUUACUCUUUGCAAAAUCUUUUAUCUUAUCUGUUAGCAGUAGCAGUAGCAGUUGCGGGGGGACUCGAUAUAUUUUCAAGAAAGCACUCCUUGUUGUCUCUA